UUUCUCUAGUUCUCUUCUAGAACUAUGAAGUAAACCGUAAGAUUGACUUCAUCCGUAAGAUUGAUCGGAGCAGAGAAAGCAUAUCUUUUCGUGAAUUAUCUCCAUCCUCUGUUGUGAAUACAUCUUAAGUCAAUCCAGAUCGAUUUCAUGUCUCAAAGUCUCCCAUAAUUUCACUCGAUCAACGAUCUCGGCGGUGGAUUCUGACGAGGACGGCGAAGGAGAACAAGACGACGAAGGAUGCGAAAGCGGAAAAGAGGAUAUCUAGAAGACAUGGACAGUGAAAGCGACUAGCGAGUAGAGAACCAAAUCAUGAUAUGUGUUUGGUUCUGUUCCCAUGUCCUCCGUCCGUCCGGCGACAUCAUCUGAAAAUCUUGUGUUUCGUCAAUCACAAGCAAAG
rnacentral:sRNA from 1 species